UCCCCACUGGGGAUAUGCCUAUAACCAAGGUACUGCCCUUGGCUAGAAUUGAAUCUGGGACCCUUCAGUCUGCAGGCUGAUGCUCUAUUCACUGAGCCAAACUGGCUAGG